GAGCCGCUAGCUCAGCCAGGUAGAGCAUCGGACUUUUAAUCCGGUGGUCGCAGGUUCGAUUCCUGCGCGGCUCA
rnacentral:tRNA from 1 species